UAUGUUGAAAUAUAUUGUUAAUUGUUUAACGAAACUGAACGAUUUAACAAUGUAUUUAAGCUAAAUCUCGAAAUCUGUUUUGUAGAUUGCACCGUUAAGAGACAUUGAGAGCCAUUUAACAAUGAUUAUAUGAAGAGAUAAUUGAGUUAUCUGCUAAAUAAAGGAAGUUAUUCGACUUUUAAGAUGAUCCACUUCAAUGAAAUGACCUAAUUUUCAAGGAACUUAAUGCUGUUCAACAUGCUAAGAAAUGGAUAAUAAAGUCUCUAGAAUCGGGGACAAGCUGUCAAUUCUUAGACUCAACCUCAAAAAUACACAACCUUGUUACAAUUUAAGUAAUUCUCCUUCUCUGGAGUAGAAAGAGUAGAAAGUCAUUUAAAUAUCCUCUUUUUCUGGAGCAGAGGGAGGAAUGAGUUUAAACGUUAAUAAAAAGCCUCAACUAGUUGUUUCCUUAUGGGGGAAAUCUGCUAAUCUUUUGACACAGGAAGCUUCAGAUUCGGCAUAAAAUCAUAAAACGUAAGCUGUAUUAAUUAAUAAAAAUCAAAUUUUGUUUAUCUUUUAAAUAAAUUUUAAUUUUUUUAUGAUUAAUUAUAUAUUUAAACAUUAGACAAAGGUUAAACUAGUUUGCUCUUGUUAUGACUUUAAC